ensembl:lncRNA
UGUAAAAUUGACUUUAAAAUAUUGCAGUACUAUUUUUUCUUAAUCAGAAGAGAAAAUUCUCAAGGCCUUUUGAAGAGCAUAAAAGAUGAAGAUUGUAAACUUGUAUAAAAAAAAAAUUUAACUUGGGGAGGAAAAAUGUAAAGUAGACAUUUGUAAUCUUUUACCAUUUGGGGGUUAUUUGUUCCCAGGAUUCAUCGGGACUUUGGAUUAUGAUUGAGUUUGUUCUUUUUAAAUGGGCCGUUUUUAUCCAGGGGCAUUUCUUCCCCAGAAACCUGGUUCUGUGCAGACAUGGAAAAUCCAAAAGGGCAGCGAGGAGUAGUUUUCAUCUGGUGUCUUUUAUUUAAUUUUUUUAAGUUAAGAGAAGCUGGUGACAUAUUUAUACGUUUUUGUGCAAAAUAAAUGAAUGGCAAUAGAUUUUAAAGAAAAAUCUUAUGUACUUCAGUGUGAAAAGUUCUGUAUAAUAUUUCCCUUAAAUAUGCAUUAUUUUACUUGUGAGUUUUUUACUGAAUUAAUCUGAAAUGUACAAGCCCUGGCUUUCCUACAGAGUGAAGAAAGUUAUUUUAUUUUUCUUUUUAUUUCUAACUUUGGAAAUUCAUGCCUAAAUCAGAAUUAUUAUUACAGUUGUUUGAGCUAAAGGGAGAGGGAGGGGGGCGGGGAAUGUCCAGCAUGCUUGUAUGUAUAUUUCAGAACCUUUUUUAAAUGUAAAAGCUGUACAUUUCUGGGGAGUUCUGAAUUUCUUUUUUUUUUUUUUUUCCUCUGAGCAUUUUGCAGUGAGCUUCUUUUAUAUAUAGCCAACAAUUUGAAAGAAAACAAAAAAAGUGAAGUUCAUUUUAAAUCUACAGUAUAUCGCUGGUACAAUACACUAAAAAAAAAGACUUUGAUAAAAAGAAACAAUAAUAAUAAAGACCUCCAUUUUAAAUGUCAUUCAUAUAUACCUUGUGGAUGAGAGCUAUAUACUUUUACACACUUUUUUAGAUGAAUAAAUUAUUGAAUUACUGAAACU